UGAUAGUGCAGCCCUAAGUGGGUGGUAAACUCCAUCUAAGGCUAAAUAUGACCACGAGACCGAUAGCGAACAAGUACCGUGAGGGAAAGUUGAAAAGCACUUUGAAGAGAGAGUUCAAGAGUACGUGAAACCGUUUAGGGGUAAACCUGAGAAACCCGAAAGGUCGAAGGGAGAAAUUCAUUCGCGUUUCGCAGUCGGCGUGAGGCGAUCGAGUGACGGAAUGCGUCUUCGGAUGUUUUCUGCACCUUUUGUUUUUCGAUCCGAUAGCGAACGCGUGCACUUUUCUCCUGGUAGGACGUCGCGAUCCGUUGGGUGUCGGUCUACGGCUCACGGUGGAGCCCGGAUGUACGGCUUGCCGUCACGUCCGGACCCGUGUGUCCCGGCUGACUCGCUCGACGGUAUACGAAAGGUUUA
rnacentral:rRNA from 1 species